UUAAAUGGCUGCAGUAAUUUGACUGUACAAAGGUAGCAUAAUCAAUAGUUUUUUAAUUGAAAGCUAGAAUGAAUGGUUGGACGAGAUAAAAUCUGUCUUUAUUUAAUUUAUAAUAAAAUUUAAUUUUUAAGUUAAAAAGCUUAAAUUUUUAUAAAAGACGAGAAGACCCUAUAGAGUUUUAUAUUUAAUUUAAUGUAUUUAAUAUAGAUUUAUUUAUUAUAUAUUUAAUAAAGUAUUUUAUUGGGGUAAUAUAAAGAUUAAAUUAAUUCUUUAAAUUUUUUAUAUUUAUUAAUAUUUUAUAUGAUCCAUUAUUGAUGAUUAAAAGAUUAAAUUACCUUAGGGAUAACAGCGUAAUUUUUUUAGAGAGUUCAUAUUGAUAAAAAAGUUUGCGACCUCGAUGUUGGAUUAAAGAUUAAUUUAGGUGCAAAAGUUUAAAUGUUUGGUCUGUUCGACCAUUAAAUCUUUACAUGAUCUGAGUUCAGACCGGCGUGAGCCAGGUCGGUUUCUAUCUUUAUUUUAUUAAAAUAUUUUAGUACGAAAGGACCAAAUAUUAAUUAAAUUAAUUUAUUUAUUUGAAUAUUAUU
rnacentral:rRNA from 1 species